UACGUAGGUGGCAAGCGUUGUCCGGAUUUAUUGGGUUUAAAGGGUGCGUAGGCGGCUUUGUAAGUCAGUGGUGAAAUAUGGCAGCCCAACUGUCAAGGUGCCAUUGAUACUGCGGAGCUUGAGUACAGAUGAGGUAGGCGGAAUUGACGGUGUAGCGGUGAAAUGCUUAGAUAUCGUCAAGAACACCUAUAGCGAAGGCAGCUUACUAGGCUGUAACUGACGCUGAGGCACGAAAGUGUGGGGAUCAAACAGG
rnacentral:rRNA from 1 species